rnacentral:rRNA from 1 species
GAUGAAACGCUAGCUACAGGCUUAAACACAUGCAAGUCGCAGGGGUAACGUGAGGGGAAAGCUUGCUUCCUUGACGACGACUGGCGCACGGGUGAGUAACGCGUAUCCAACCUUCCCAUGACCACGGGGAUAACCCGUUGAAAGACGGCCUAAUACCGUAUGACGUCGUUUGCCGACAUCGAAAAGACGACCAAAGGGUUUGGCGGUGAUGGAUGGGGGAUGCGUCUGAUUAGCUUGUUGGCGGGUAACGGCCCACCAAGGCGACGAUCAAUAGGGGUUCCUGAGAGGAAGGUCCCCCCACAUUGGGAACUGAGACACGGUCCAAACUCCUACGGGAGGCAGCAGUGAGGAAUAUUGGGUCAAUGGGCGAGAGCCUGAACCAGCCAAGUAGCGUGCAGGAUGACGGCCCUAUGGGUUGUAAACUGCUUUUACGCGGGGAUAAAGUGCGUGACGUGUCUCGCAUUGCAGGUACCGCGUGAAUAAGGACCGGCUAAUUCCGUGCCAGCAGCCGCGGUAAU